GAAAUGUUUAGGUUUUUAUGUGGUGAGGAAGGCCUGUUAGUUUUUAGGUGACAGGGCAUAGAAAUGUGUAGGUUUUUAUGUGGUGAGGGAGGACUGUUGUUUUUUAGGUGACAGGGCAUAGAAAUGUGUAGUUUUUUAUGUGGUGAGGGAGGCCUGUUGGUUUUUAGGUGACAGGGCAUAGAAAUGUGUAGUUUUUUAUGUGGUGAGGAAGGCCUGUUGGUUUUUAGGUGACAGGGCAUAGAAAUGUGUAGUUUUUUAUGUGGUGAGGGAGGACUGUUGGUUUUUAGGUGACAAGGCAUAGAAAUGUGUAGGUUUUUAUGUGGUGAGGAAGGCCUGUUGGUUUUUAGGUGACAGGGCAUAGAAAUGUAUUGUUUUUUUUAUAGUAAUUUAACGAAGGCAUUUUGGUAAGCUAGUUUAUCUGAAUUUGUGAUCAUUUAUGGAUUCUACUUUAGUCACUCCCGCAAAUUUCAACAAGGUGCAUUUAAUAAUAAUUUAGUCCAUCAUGAAAAAAAAAAAAAAGCGAUUCAGUUAGCCCAGAAAUGCAACCAGGAGUCUUUUUUGGGUCACUUAACUCAAUUUGUCACCUGUUAUAAUAUGGCAGGUCGCUCUUGUCUCUCAUAUUUCAACAAGUCUCAGUCAUUAGCUCAGUUCAGAUAGUAAAUGAUUUUGUUACGCCAUUUUAGUUCAAUUUGUCAACAGUUUUGUAUGGUAUGUAUGUAUGUGUGUAUGUAUGUAUGUAUGUAUU